rnacentral:lncRNA from 1 species
CCAUCCCGGCCCUGCGGGGUCCCCGAGGAGGGCGAGAGGCAGCGCAUCAUCAUGUACUCUGCAUCCUCUGCUGCUGCUGCGGGGUGAGGGGGGGGGGAUCUGAGUCACAGCCCCCCUCCGUGCCCCCCCGGCACCGCCUGCUCCCCGUUGCGCUCACCCGCCGGGGCCCUGCAGCCGUUGCAGCAGCUCUCCCACCGACUGCUUCUUGGCUCGGGCUGCGGCGCUGAGGCUCUCCCGGUCGAGGGAGGAGCAGAAAGGAGCGCAGUGCAUGGGAGCGCUGCUGCUGCUGCUGCUGCUGGAGGCUGCUCCGUGCAUGCAGAAAGUGCAGAGCAGCCACCAGCUGGGAGCGGGGAGGGGGGUCCUGGGGGUCCUGCAGCAGCAGCAGGGCCAGGCACUGCCAUGGUGCCGCAUCCCCUGCAGCAAUGCAUCCCCAUUGCAUCCCUGUGGUCCCAGCAUCCCUGCACCGAUGCAUCCCCAUUGCAUCUCGGUGGUGCCUGCAUCCCCUGCAGCAACACAUCCCCAUUGCAUCCCCACGGCGCCUGCAUCCCUGCACCAACACAUUCCAAUGGUGCCAGCAUCCCCGCACCAAUGCAUCCCCAUUGCAUCUCUAUGGUGCUUGCAUCCCUGCACCAACGCAUCCCCACGGUGCCAGCAUACCUGCACCAAUGCAUCCCCAUUGCAUCUCCGUGGUGCCUACAUCCCCCGCAGCAAUGCAUCAAAGUUGCAUCCCAAUGGUGCCAGCAUCCCUGCACCAAUGCAUCCCACGGUGCCAGCAUGCCCCCACAAAUGCACCCCCAUUGCAUCCUUGUGGUUCCAGCAUCCCUGCACCAACGCAUCCCCUGCAGCAACGCACCCCCGUCGCACCCCACGCACCAAUGCAUCCCUGCCGCCAUCCUGCACAGAUGCAGCACAGCUCCAAAGAGAGCGGCAGACCCCCCAUCCUCCCCUCCCCUCCCCAGCAGCAGCAGCAGCAGAUGGGGGCAAAGGGAUGCAGGCAGCAGAUCGUGCGCUCGGCGCGUGGGAUGGGAGGUGUUGGCAUCGGGGAACGCGUGUGUGCCGGGGGGGGGAAGGAAACAUCUGGCAGAGCAGCGGGGCUGAGCAAUGCCGGAGCUGCGCCCAGACAUCUGGAUUGCCCUGGAAACGGGGGGAGGGGGGGGGGGACGAGAAAAGGGGGGGACGAGAAAAGGGGGGGGACGCACUCCCCGAGCAACGCAGAGUGCUGCUGGGGGGGCUGCGGGGCCGACGCUGCCCUCUGCGCCCGGCUCUGCCUCCCACCCCGCGCUGCUCUCCUCUCUCCCCAAACCCCAACCAUAACAUCUCUGCCCCCCCCCUCCCCAGACCCCCCCUCCCCACCCCCCGACCCCCCCCCCCCCGGCGCCCCGCUGCGCUCACAGCUCCGUGCCCCAUAGCGGCACAGUGGGGCCGUCCUCCACGGUGACCCCCCGCCAACCUCCGGCGUUUGGGGGGCGUUGGGGAGCGGUGGGGAGGGGGGGGGGAAACAGCCCCCAACCACGGGGCCACGAGGAGGGGGUGCCGUGGGGAUGGGGGCGCUGCCACGGGGUCAAACGAGGAGUCCACGGGGCGGGAGGGGGUCCGCAGCUGUGGGGCACCCCAGGGAGCACAGCCGGGAUGACUCAGAGGAGGAGACGGAGGAGAGGCCUGGAGCUGCGCCCGGCCGCAGCGUGACCCCGCGCCGUGGCCAUAGGGUGGGGGGCCCUUCCCUCCACCCCCACAUCGCUGUGCCCCCGCG